AGACCUACGGGAGGCAGCAGUGGGGGAUAUUGCACAAUGGGGGAAACCCUGAUGCAGCGACGCCGCGUGAGUGAAGAAGUAUUUCGGUAUGUAAAGCUCUAUCAGCAGGGACGAAAAUGACGGUACCUGAGUAAGAAGCCCCGGCUAACUACGUGCCAGCAGCCGCGGUAAUACGGAGGGGGCAAGCGUUAUCCGGAUUUACUGGGUAUAAAGGGAGCGUAGACGGUUAUGCAAGUCUGGAGUGGACGGCGGGGGCUCAACGCCCGGCCUGCUCUGGAAACUGUAGCACU
rnacentral:rRNA from 1 species